rnacentral:misc_RNA from 1 species
UGGUUCUCGCAUCGAUGAAGAACGCAGCGAAACGCGAUAGGUAAUGUGAAUUGCAGAAUUUAGUGAAUCAUCGAAUCUUUGAACGCACAUUGCGCUCCCUGGUAUUCCUAGGAGCAUGUCUGUCCGAGCGUCAGUACACACCCUCCGUCAACCUCUUUGCUGGGGUUCGAUCGGGUCCUGAGCGGUGGGAGCCAUCCGUGGCCUCGCCCUCUAAAGUGGAAAGCCAGCGGCCCGCCUGCCCAUGAAAGACGUAGUAAUAUCUCAAUGAAUCGUCCGCGAAAGGGUUGUAGGUUGGACUCGCCUCAAAUCUUUACUCAUCAAGGUUUGACCUCGGAUCAGACAAGAAUACCCGCUGA